rnacentral:rRNA from 1 species
UGGGGAAUAUUGCGCAAUGGGGGCAACCCUGACGCAGCCAUGCCGCGUGAAUGAAGAAGGCCUUAGGGUUGUAAAGUUCUUUCGGUAUUGAGGAAGGUUGAUGUGUUAAUAGCACAUCAAAUUGACGUUAAAUACAGAAGAAGCACCGGCUAACUCCGUGCCAGCAGCCGCGGUAAUACGGAGGGUGCGAGCGUUAAUCGGAAUAACUGGGCGUAAAGGGCACGCAGGCGGUUAUUUAAGUGAGGUGUGAAAGCCCUGGGCUUAACCUAGGAAUUGCAUUUCAGACUGGGUAACUAGAGUACUUUAGGGAGGGGUAGAAUUCCACGUGUAGCGGUGAAAUGCGUAGAGAUGUGGAGGAAUACCGAAGGCGAAGGCAGCCCCUUGGGAAUGUACUGACGCUCAUGUGCGAAAGCGUGGGGAGCAAACAGGAUUAGAUACCCUGGUAGUCCACGCUGUAAACGCUGUCGAUUUGGGGGUUGGGGUUUAACUCUGGCGCCCGUAGCUAACGUGAUAGAUCGACCGCCUGGGGAGUACGGCCGCAAGGUUA